CGUACGCACUGGCCCAACUGAUCGAUGGUGCUCGCACCUGAUUGACGUUGGAUCACCAGUGAGUGGCGGACGGGUGAGUAACACGUAGGUAACCUGCCCCGGAGCGGGGGAUAACAUUUGGAAACAGAUGCUAAUACCGCAUAACAACAAAAGCCACAUGACUUUUGUUUGAAAGAUGGCUUUAGCUAUCACUCUGGGAUGGACCUGCGGUGCAUUAGCUAGUUGGUAAGGUAACGGCUUACCAAGGCGAUGAUGCAUAGCCGAGUUGAGAGACUGAUCGGCCACAAUGGAACUGAGACACGGUCCAUACUCCUACGGGAGGCAGCAGUAGGGAAUCUUCCACAAUGGGCGCAAGCCUGAUGGAGCAACACCGCGUGAGUGAAGAAGGGUUUCGGCUCGUAAAGCUCUGUUGUUGGAGAGGAACGUGCGUGAGAGUAACUGUUCACGCAGUGACGGUAUCCAACCAGAAAGUCACGGCUAACUACGUGCCAGCAGCCGCGGUAAUACGUAGGUGGCAAGCGUUAUCCGGAUUUAUUGGGCGUAAAGCGAGCGCAGGCGGUUGCUUAGGUCUGAUGUGAAAGCCUUCGGCUUAACCGAGGAAGUGCAUCGGAAACCGGGCGACUUGAGUGCAGAAGAGGACAGUGGAACUCCAUGUGUAGCGGUGGAAGGGGUGGAUUUUUGGGGGAACACCAGUGGCGAAGGCGGCUGUCUGGUCUGCAACUGACGCUGAGGCUCGAAAGCAGGGGGGCUCUUUUAAAGGUAGANANAAAGGAAAGAAAAGAAAAGGAGGGGGCCUUAGUAGGUUNUNNNNNNUUCCCGCCCUUCAGUGCCGGAGCUAACGCAUUAAGCACUCCGCCUGGGGGAGUACGACCGCAAGGUUGAAACUCAAAGGAAUUGACGGGGGCCCGCACAAGCGGUGGAGCAUGUGGUUUAAUUCGAAGCUACGCGAAGAACCUUACCAGGUCUUGACAUCUUGCGCUAACCUUAGAGAUAAGGCGUUCCCUUCGGGGACGCAAUGACAGGUGGUGCAUGGUCGUCGUCAGCCCGUGUCGUGAGAUGUUGGGUUAAGUCCCGCAACGAGCGCAACCCUUGUUACUAGUUGCCAGCAUUAAGUUGGGCACUCUAGUGAGACUGCCGGUGACAAACCGGAGGAAGGUGGGGACGACGUCAGAUCAUCAUGCCCCUUAUGACCUGGGCUACACACGUGCUACAAUGGACGGUACAACGAGUUGCAAACUCGCGAGAGCAAGCUAAUCUCUUAAAGCCGUUCUCAGUUCGGACUGUAGGCUGCAACUCGCCUACACGAAGUCGGAAUCGCUAGUAAUCGCGGAUCAGCA
rnacentral:rRNA from 1 species